rnacentral:sRNA from 1 species
CCUCAGUCACCUGGGUAGGAGAGAUAAAAUGUACGUGGGCGUCGAUUGUACCCGCAGUCAGAAUGAGCUUUUCGCCUGCUAUGACUUCUGUGCUGGACCCAAUGACUAGGUCAGGAUGGACGGAGGACAUCACGUCGGGGUUCCCGGCCUUGCCUAUACCGCUAAUCUUUCCGUUUUUGACGCCGACGUCAGCCUGUUGUGAUGUAUCAGUAUUCUAGGUCUUGGGAGUGUGAAUGAGGUAUUAGCCUUGCCUUAUAGAUGCCAGACCAAUCGACGACGAGGGCAUUUGUGAUCACAAGAUCAAGGGUUUCGGAAGAUGGCCUGUUGGUUGCUUGACCCAUGCCCUCACGGAUG